UGAGGAAUAUUGGUCAAUGGGCGGGAGCCUGAACCAGCCAAGUCGCGUGAAGGAAGAAGGAUCUAUGGUUCGUAAACUUCUUUUGCAGGGGAAUAAAGUGCAGGACGUGUCCUGUUUUGUAUGUACCCUGAGAAUAAGCAUCGGCUAACUCCGUGCCAGCAGCCGCGGUAAUACGGAGGAUGCGAGCGUUAUCCGGAUUUAUUGGGUUUAAAGGGUGCGUAGGCGGCGAUAUAAGUCAGUGGUGAAAUAUUUCGGCUUAACCGAGAGACUGCCAUUGAUACUGUGUUGCUAGAAUAUGGUUGCUGUGAGUGGAAUGUGGGGUGUAGCGGUGAAAUGCUUAGAUAUCACACAGAAUAUCGAUUGCGAAGGCAGCUCACAAAGCCAUUAUUGACGCUGAGGCACGAAAGUGUGGGGAUCAAACA
rnacentral:rRNA from 1 species